CCAAAAACUAUCUUCUUCUUCUUCCUAUUUUUCUAAGAAAAACCGUCCACCAUGGGAGAGGAAAAAGCGUGAGGUUCUCAAAUAAGUCUCACCCCGAUUUUUUGUCAAACCGUCGAUUUAAUCGUGUAAACGUUAUGAAAUCAACUACACCCAAAUGUAGCAAAUGAAAGGAAAAAGGAUCGGCGAAAGAAGAAAUGUCGAAUGGAAAGGUUUGGAAAUAACGUCAUCCAGGUAUUAUGCUCAACACUUAAAUGGCCUAAUUCUCUUACGUGUUUUUCCGUGAUUAUUACGUGACUUAUUGUCUACAUAAUUUAUGAUUAAUUAUGUGAUUAAAUAUUCAUGAAGUAAAAUAUAAGAAUAUGAUGGAUUGUUGAUUGAUUUGAUAAUGAAAUAUGUGACAAGAGUAUACGUUGUGGAGAUGGAAAUAAAUGUGAUUAAAUGUGAUGAUGUCUGAUCUAUCUAUCUGUGAUGAGGUCUGAUUUGUCUGUAUGUGUUGAUAUAUUAUUAUCUUAGUAGAUUAUGAGUAAUUUAUGUGAUAAAAGAUUUAUGAAGUAAAACAUGAGAAUAUGAUGAAUUAUUGAAUGAGUUGGCAUUGAGAUGUGAAAAGGGAAGAAUAUGGUUGUAACUGUAGGUAAUGUGGAAAUGAGCAUUAAGGAGGAUAUGAUAAAUGAUAUAUGAUGAUGAGAUGUAUACAAAUAUGAUUAAAUGUGAUGAUGCUUGAUCUAUCUAUCUAUCUGUGAUGAGGUAUGAUCUGUCUGUGUUGUUGGGAAUCUGAUAUGGUUUUGAGAAUGUCAGAAUUUAAUCUAUAAAUUCGAUAUGAUAUGGUGUGAAAAUAAGUUGUUGAUGUGUUAUAUUAGAAAUAGUUGAGAAUAUAUAUUGAGAUGAAAAUGAGUAGAUUUGAUGGUGUUUACGCCUCGUGCUUAAGUGUAUUCUGUGGGUACAAUUGGCAUGCCAUAGGACAGCAGCGCUGCAUCAUCUGUGAUCUCUCGUCUUUUGGAUAACCGAAGCGAGGAUCGUCUGUUAUCUGAUCUGUCUGAUCUGCACCCUAUGGGUGGUCUGUUCCCGGGAUUAUCUGUCUGCAUCCGAAAUGGGUGGUAUGAUCUGGUCCGCGUACCCUAGUCUGUCACUAGGCACAUUAAGGGGCCAUGUGUGAAAUUAUGUGUAAUGUCGAUCAAAAUAUUCGUGAUAAUAUAUGUGACAAUAUGUGCAUGACAAUAUAUGAGUUAUAAUAUGCGAUUAUGUGAAACAUCUGUUAUAAUUUGAUAUGAUAAUAUCUUAUACGUGAAAAUGUAUUAUGUUACAUGGUUCUGUUGAGAGUUUUGAUAUAAAUAUUGAAAAUCUGAGACUUGCAGACAUAAUUUAUGACAUAUGUGAAGUUUUGUAUUAUUAUACCGUUCUGAUGACAUAGUUUGGAAAUUUGAAGUCGUGGACGAAGAUUUGACUACUGGUACGGGUAUGUUGAUACGUGUGAUGACGUCUGUGAUAUGUCUGUGUUGAUGUGUGGAUAUCAUGUGGAAUACUUGACAUUUCAUAUGAAUACUGAUGACUGUUGAUAUGUUUUGGGAUUAAUAUUGUCUCCUAUUGGAUUCUGGGCACGUGUUGGUUAUAGGGCAGUUGUUGUCCAAUUUACGUUAGAAAUUAAUAAGACAAUAAUGAUAUGAUAGAUGUAGUGAUGAUUGAAACAAAAUAAUAAGAAUUUAAAGAAUUUUAAGUUGUAUGAUUAUUGAUUGUUAGAGAAUUGUGGCUGAAGUGUUGAGUGUGCUACAGGUUAUUUGGAUCGGGGAUUCCUUUGAAUAUUUCUUUCGUUUCUUCGCCAGCACUGCAUCCUCGGUGGGUCACUGGUCACUGCUUGCGGCGUUUGUGUCCAUUUCUGUUAGAUGUGGCAUGUAUAGUAUUUGAAUAUUUGUAAUAGCUUCCGUUGUGUUUGUAAAUAGUGUUGGAACUUUUGCUAAUAGUUUAAUGAAUUAAGUUUGGUUUUUAA